rnacentral:lncRNA from 1 species
AAAAUGAGAAACAUGCACUGCCUUACCAUCUUUUUAACCUAUAUAUCCCAUUAUACCACUCUUUGAAAAAUAUAUACCAAAAUACCAUGUUUUGAGAAAUCUUCAACACACAGCCGCCAAUCCAUUGGGCGAUUGAGUGUAAAAAAUUAAUGGACCGCCCAUUCAUUUGGAGGCUGUGUUGAAAACGUAAUUUUUUUUCCAAAACCAACAUUAUAUGUAAUAUAUUAAUAUUUAGUAUUAUUACAUUAUUAAUUAAAUUAUUAUUGAUUUUGUAUUAAUGAUUUUGAUUUUUCAGUAAUCAACAUUAUUAUUAAAAUUAAUUAUUAUUAAUGAUUUUGUAAAAUUAAUUAUUAUUAAUAAAUUUUGUAGAUAAAAUAAUUGUUUAAUUUAUAACAAAUAUGAUAUAUGUUACAAUUAAUAUUGAUUUAAUAUAAAUUUCUAUUAUUAAUAAAUAUUAUACAUAAUAAUUUUUUUUAGUAAAAUAAAAUAUUAUUAAUAAGUUGGG